AGCAGCCGCGGUAAUUCCAGCUCCAAUAGCGUAUAUUAAAGUUGUUGCAGUUAAAAAGCUCGUAGUUGAAUUUCGGGAUUUGUCGGUUGGUCGGGCUUCACUGUCCGCACUGACCUGACGGAUUCCUACCUUCUGAAUAACCAGCAUGCUAUUAAGUUAGUGCGUUGGGGAAGCAGAGCUAUUACCUUGAAAAAAUUAGAGUGCUUAAAGCAGGCUUGUGCUUGAAUAGAUUAGCAUGGAAUAAUAAAAUAGGACGGCAUGGUUCUAUUUUGUUGGUUUCUAGGAUCACCGUAAUGAUUAAUAGGGAUAGUUGGGGGCAUUAGUAUUCAAUUGUCAGAGGUGAAAUUCUUGGAUUUAUUGAAGACUAACUUCUGCGAAAGCAUUUGCCAAGGAUGUUUUCAUUAAUCAAGAACGAAAGUUAGGGGAUCGAAGACGAUCAGAUACCGUCGUAGUCUUAACCAUAAACUAUGCCGACUAGGGAUCGGACGAUGUUAAUUUUUUAAUGACUCG
rnacentral:rRNA from 1 species